ACCAUCUUAGCUCAGUGGUAGAGCGCGUGGCUUUUAACUACGUGGUCGUGGGUUCGAUCCCACAGAUGGUG
rnacentral:tRNA from 1 species